UGCUCGCACGUUGGGACUAGAUGUGGGGACCAUUCCACGGUCUCCGUGUCGUAGCUAACGCAUUAAGUUCCCCGCCUGGGGAGUACGGCCGCAAGGCUAAAACUCAAAGGAAUUGACGGGGGCCCGCACAAGCGGCGGAGCAUGCGGAUUAAUUCGAUGCAACGCGAAGAACCUUACCAAGGCUUGACAUAUACGAGAACGCGCUGGAGACAGCGAACUCUUUGGACACUCGUAUACAGGUGGUGCAUGGUUGUCGUCAGCUCGUGUCGUGAGAUGUUGGGUUAAGUCCCGCAACGAGCGCAACCCUCGUCCUAUGUUGCCAGCACGUCAUGGUGGGAACUCAUGGGAUACUGCCGGGGUCAACUCGGAGGAAGGUGGGGAUGAGGUCAAAUCAUCAUGCCCCUUAUGUCUUGGGCUUCACGCAUGCUACAAUGGCCGGUACAAUGGGCUGCGAUACCGCAAGGUGGAGCGAAUCCCAAAAAGCCGGUCUCAGUUCGGAUUGAGGUCUGCAACUCGACCUCAUGAAGUCGGAGUCGCUAGUAAUCGCAGAUCAGCAACGCUGCGGUGAAUACGUUCCCGGGCCUUGUACACACCGCCCGUCAAGUCAUGAAAGUCGGUAACACCCGAAGCCGGUGGCCUAACCUUUUGGAGGGAGCCGUCGAAGGUGGGAUCGGUGAUUAGGACUAAGUCGUAAAAAGGGGUAACCA
rnacentral:rRNA from 1 species